GACGAACGCUGGCGGCGUGCCUAAUACAUGCAAGUCGAGCGGACCAAACAGGAGCUUGCUCUUGUUUGGUUAGCGGCGGACGGGUGAGUAACACGUGGGUAACCUGCCCGUAAGACCGGGAUAACUCCGGGAAACCGGAGCUAAUACCGGAUAACACCGAAGACCGCAUGGUCUUUGGUUGAAAGGCGGCUUCGGCUGCCACUUACGGAUGGGCCCGCGGCGCAUUAGCUAGUUGGUGAGGUAACGGCUCACCAAGGCGACGAUGCGUAGCCGGCCUGAGAGGGUGACCGGCCACACUGGGACUGAGACACGGCCCAGACUCCUACGGGAGGCAGCAGUAGGGAAUCUUCCGCAAUGGACGAAAGUCUGACGGAGCGACGCCGCGUGAGCGAAGAAGGUCUUCGGAUCGUAAAGCUCUGUUGUUAGGGAAGAAGAAGCGCCGUUCGAACAGGGCGGCGCGGUGACGGUACCUAACGAGAAAGCCCCGGCUAACUACGU
rnacentral:rRNA from 1 species